CACCGUGUAAGGUGGAGAUUGAAGAAACAAUGGAGAUGAGUAAGAAUGAUUAAAUGGUUCAAUCAUUUAUUUAUGGCAAGGAUUAAUUAAUAUGUUAAUUAAUCAAACGAAUAAGUUCGUUAAAGACCUCGGGAUAGGUUUUGGACCUUAAGGUCCAAUGGGCUUCGAACGUCAAGCCCAUUGACUUAAGUUGUAUGACAACUUAAUGAAUAAUGAUUCACUAAGA
rnacentral:lncRNA from 1 species